UGGUCUCUACCAAGGCUGCUAGAAGAUGCCAUUUCUGGUAUGCUGUGGACGUGACCAUAAAGUAACUCCUAUGGAUCUUUGCACAGCUACUANGGUAGUUUCAGAUCUGCUGGAAACAGUG
rnacentral:snoRNA from 1 species